AUGAAGAAGCUCCUGAGAUCACUUGACAGCUCAUUUGACACCUUAGCCCUGAUGAUACAAGAAUGUCCUAACUUCAAGGAUCUCGAUCCGUCUGAUAUACUUGAGAGGCUCAACACACAUGAGUUCCAGCUAUCUGAGAAGCGUGAUAUCUAUGGUCCCAAGUAUGGCCGAGCCCAUGCCUUGAAGGCAAAAGUUGUUUCCUCCUCUGAAGAAGAAUCUGGCUGUAGUUCUGGUGAUCCUGAAGAGCUUGGCAAAGAGCUUCACUACAAAAAAAUACACCUCCGUGAUGAUACGUGUUUGUCACAGUAG
rnacentral:rRNA from 1 species